ACUGCAGUCUGCAACCCGACNGCACGAAGCCGGAAUCGCUAGUAAUCGCGGAUCAGAAUGCCGCGGUGAAUACGUUCCCGGGCCUUGUACACACCGCCCGUCACACCAUGAGAGUCGGGAACACCCGAAGUCCGUAGCCUAACCGCAAGGGGGGCGCGGCCGAAGGUGGGUUCGAUAAUUGGGGUGAAGUCGUAACAAGGUAAC
rnacentral:rRNA from 1 species